CACGUACUAUCUAGAGUUUGUAGUCCUCGGCGUCAGGGAUGAACGCUAGCGAUAGGCUUAACACAUGCAAGUCAGGGGUAACAUGGGAGUAGCUUGCUACUUCUGAUGACGACCGGCGGAUGGGUGAGUAACGCGUAUGCAACUAGCCUCUUAGUGGGGAAUAACCCGGAGAAAUCCGGACUAAUACCGCAUACACUUAGUUAUCCGCAUGGAUGAUUAAGGAAAGAUUUAUUGCUAAGAGAUAGGCAUGCGUUCCAUUAGUUAGUUGGUGAGGUAACGGCUCACCAAGGCAUCGAUGGAUAGGGGAGCUGAGAGGCUUAUCCCCCACAUUGGGACUGAGACACGGCCCAA
rnacentral:rRNA from 1 species